rnacentral:rRNA from 1 species
GACGAACCGAGCGAACGUUGUUCGGAAUCACUGGGCUUAAAGGGCGCGUAGGCGGGCUGCCGCGUCCGGGGUGAAAUCCCACGGCUCAACCGUGGAACGGCCCCGGGUACGGGCGGCCUCGAGGGGGGUAGGGGCGUGCGGAACUGUGGGUGGAGCGGUGAGAUGUGUUGAUAUCGGAAGGAACGCCGGUGGCGAAAGCGGCACACUGGAUCUCAACUGACGCUGAGGCACGAAAGCCAGGGGAGCGAACGGG